rnacentral:rRNA from 1 species
AUUGAACGCUGGCGGCAGGCCUAACACAUGCAAGUCGAACGGUAACAGGAAGAAGCUUGCUUCUUUGCUGACGAGUGGCGGACGGGUGAGUAAUGUCUGGGAAACUGCCUGAUGGAGGGGGAUAACUACUGGAAACGGUAGCUAAUACCGCAUAACGUCGCAAGACCAAAGAGGGGGACCUUCGGGCCUCUUGCCAUCGGAUGUGCCCACAUGGGAUUAGCUAGUAGGUGGGGUAACGGCUCACCUAGGCGACGAUCCCUAGCUGGUCUGAGAGGAUGACCAGCCACACUGGAACUGAGACACGGUCCAGACUCCUACGGGAGGCAGCAGUGGGGAAUAUUGCACAAUGGGCGCAAGCCUGAUGCAGCCAUGCCGCGUGUAUGAAGAAGGCCUUCGGGUUGUAAAGUACUUUCAGCGGGGAGGAAGGGAGUAAAGUUAAUACCUUUGCUCAUUGACGUUACCCGCAGAAGAAGCACCGGCUAACUCCGUG